AAGAUCAAAAGCCCUAUAUAAGAGGUUUCAGCACCCAUAUCUCAACUUAUUCCAUUGAUCUCUUAUCAAUUCCUACACUGAUUUAAACAUCGAAGAAGUUGUCUACCAACCCACUGAUGUCCUUUGUGUUGUAUUACAGAUUAAAGAGAAGAACAACAUCAAUUACCCAUUACAUAAAUGUAUUCAGAGCCCAUACUUAUAAUUUGCAACCAACUUCCAAAUGCAGUAGACGAUGGAAACACCAAAACUUCAUUG
rnacentral:misc_RNA from 1 species